rnacentral:rRNA from 1 species
UGGGGAAUAUUGGACAAUGGGCGAAAGCCUGAUCCAGCCAUGCCGCGUGUGUGAAGAAGGUCUUCGGAUUGUAAAGCACUUUAAGUUGGGAGGAAGGGCAGUAAGUUAAUACCUUGCUGCUUUGACGUUACCGACAGAAUAAGCACCGGCUAACUCUGUGCCAGCAGCCGCGGUAAUACAGAGGGUGCAAGCGUUAAUCGGAAUUACUGGGCGUAAAGCGCGCGUAGGUGGGUUGUUAAGUUGGAUGUGAAAGCCCCGGGCUCAACCUGGGAAAUGCAUCCAAAACUGGCAAGCUAGAGUACGGUAGAGGGUGGUGGAAUUUCCUGUGUAGCGGUGAAAUGCGUAGAUAUAGGAAGGAACACCAGUGGCGAAGGCGACCACCUGGACUGAUACUGACACUGAGGUGCGAAAGCGUGGGGAGCAAACA